rnacentral:rRNA from 1 species
AUUGAACGCUGGCGGCAGGCUUAACACAUGCAAGUCGAGCGAGCGGCGGACGGGUGAGUAAUGUCUGGGAAACUGCCUUAUGGAGGGGGAUAACUACGGGAAACGGUAGCUAAUACCGCAUACCAUCAGAUGUUCCCCUAUGGGAUGAGGUAGUAGGUGGGGUAAAGGCUCACCUAGUCGACGAUCCCUAGAUGGUCUGAGAGGAUGACCAGCCACACUGGAACUGAGACACGGUCCAGACUCCGACGGGAGGCAGCAGUGGGGAAUAUUGCACAAUGGGCGCAAGCCUGAUGCAGCCAUGCCGCGUGUGUGAAGAAGGCCUUCGGGUUGUAAAGCUCUUUCAGCGAGGAGGCGUUACUCGCAGAAGAAGCACCGGCUAACUCCGUGCCAGCAGCCGCGGUAAUAC